rnacentral:rRNA from 1 species
UAGCGGAGGAAAAGAAACCAACAGGGAUUGCCCUAGUAACGGCGAGUGAAGCGGCAACAGCUCAAAUUUGAAAUCUGGCCUAGGCCCGAGUUGUAAUUUGCAGAGGAUGCUUCUGGCGCGGUGCCUUCCGAGUUCCCUGGAACGGGACGCCACAGAGGGUGAGAGCCCCGUAUGGUCGGACACCAAGCCUGUGUGAAGCUCCUUCGACGAGUCGAGUAGUUUGGGAAUGCUGCUCUAAAUGGGAGGUAAAUCUCUUCUAAAGCUAAAUACCGGCCAGAGACCGAUAGCGCACAAGUAGAGUGAUCGAAAGAUGAAAAGCACCUUGAAAAGGGGGUUAAAUAGUACGUGAAAUUGUUGAAAGGGAAGCACUUAUGACCAGACUUGGGCCGGGCGGCUCAUCAGGGGUUCUCCCCUGUGCACUCCGCCCGGCACAGGCCAGCAUCGGUUCUCGUGGGGGGAUAAGACCGUCAGGAACGUAGCACCCUCCGGGGUGUGUUAUAGCCUGGCGGACGAUACCCCCGUGGGGACCGAGGUCCGCGCUCCGCAAGGAUGCUGGCGUAAUGGUCAUCAGUGACCCGUCUUGA